GAUGAACGCUGGCGGCGUGCUUAACACAUGCAAGUCGAACGAACAGACGAUGAGCUCGCUCCCCUGACGUUAGCGGCGGACGGGUGAGUAAAGCGUGCAUAACCUACCUAUAUGACUGGGGUAACUACGGAAAACCGGAGCUGAUACUGGAGAAUAUAUUCAACCGAAGGGAUCAGUAGUGAAACGCGGCUUGGAUGGUUCAUUUAGAAGGAGCCGCGCCGGAUUAGCUAGUUGGUAAGGUAACGGCUUACCAAGGCGACGAUGCGUAGCCGGCCUGAGAGGCUGAUCUGCCACACUGGAACUGAGACACGGUCCAGACUCCUACGGGAGGCAGCAGUGGGGAAUCUUCCGCAAUGGGCGCAAGCCUGAUCUAGCCACGCCGCGUGAGUGAAGAAGGUCUUCGGAUCGUAAAGCUCUGUUAUUGGGGAAGAACAACAGCGUAAGUACCUCCGCCUGUUCUGACGGUACCUAAUCAGAAAGCCCCGGCUAACUUCGUG
rnacentral:rRNA from 1 species